rnacentral:misc_RNA from 1 species
GUAGGUGAACCUGCGGAAGGAUCAUUACAGAGUAUCAUGCCCUUCGGGGUAGAUCUCCACCCUUGAAUAACAUACCUUUGUUGCUUUGGCAGGACGCACUCGUGCCAGGGGCUUCGGCUCUUGAGUGCCUGCCAGAGGACCACAACUCUUGUUUUAGCAGUGGCAUCUUCUGAGUAAUUUUAUAAAUAAAUCAAAACUUUCAACAACGGAUCUCUUGGUUCUU